ensembl:lincRNA
CGUGACGUCACGGGCCACCCGCCAGCCCCGCGCUCUACCAGGCAGAGCGCGUGCGGCCGCCGAGCACAUGGACCCGCUGGUCAAGCGGGCUCGGCAAGGCCAGGAUGAAGAGAAGCUACGAAUUUAGCAUUCCCAGAGACCCCCGAGUGGAUAUCCGCGUGGAAAGGAUGUUGGCAGCCCCGGUGACCUCGGAGUCACGGCUGGAUCCACCCUCUUGUCUGAUUUUCUUAACUCGACUACGAUAAGAAGAUGCCCUCCAUCAGCAGGCCGUGCUUGCUCGUGGGCCUCUCUGGAGACUUCCUGAACCCUGUGGAUUUACAGUAAGAUGCAGUUUCCUGGGGAGUAAUUCUGGUGGAUACAAAUUCCAGAGUAGUACACCUGGCUUGCCUGGAGAUGUUACAAGUAGCUGGAUGGAUUCUUCAGCCUGGAUGCCCACUGAAAACAAGGACCGAAACUGAGAGGAUUGUAUCUCUACCCUUGACUCAAUGAGAAUAUUUGCUGUCAUCUCUCGGGCUACCUGGAGCUCCCUCUAAAAUUAUACCCUUUAAGCGUUCCAGAAGGAUUUUGAGAUCCUUUCCUAAAUCAAAGGUGGAAUAUUUGGGGAUUUGGAAAAUUGAGCCAGUCUCUCAGAAGAACCAGUUGUGUUACUUUGCUGUGAGAUGCCUGCCCUAAGAGAGGAGCAGAAGGUCGGAAAGGGUCCUCUAAUGUGAUAAUUAGAUGAGAAGCGUUGACUUAAGAGAUGCCAAGUAACUCAGCAGAUGUCACACAGACGAUAAAUAGCAAAGAUGGAAGUCUUCAUGCCGGAGGCAAUCCUAUAAGACAGCUGAGCUCUGCAGAGCUGGUAGGAGACAGACUUGCUCAGGUGAUAGAUCCAGCCAUGAUAUUGACCCUAAGAGAAUGAGACACACUGCAGAAGACAGAAGAUUCCUGAAACUGGGAAAGGUGCCUAGAAAUCCUGAGAAGAGUGACGAAGGGUACCUGGAGGCACAGCAGCCAUGUUGAACCUAUGAGGUGAUGAAAAACCAUGCAACUAGAAACCAGAAUGGAAGAAAAGAAGAAACUGGAUCCUUGACUGAAUUGUCGAUGGGGGAUAGUCCAUCAUCCCAGGGCUAAGACCACCUCCAGAUUUCUUGUUUGGUGAAACAAGUCCUGAUUGCUUACAUUCCCUCGUGUUGAGCUGUCUCUUGCUUGUCGCUGAAAGCAUUUCUAAUAGAUAUUCAGAUUAUCAGCCUUAGCUCCAAGCCAGAAUACUCUAUGGGACCUUAGCUUCUCCAUGAAUUCCUUUGCUCAUCUGUGUAAUGCUCAAUAAAUGUAAAUUGAACCCUGAAUGAGGGACAAUGACAC